rnacentral:rRNA from 1 species
UAAAGGGCGCGUAGGCGGGUCAUCAAGUCAGCGGUAAAAUCGCGGAGCUCAACUCCAACCAGCCGUUGAAACUGAUGAUCUUGAGUGGGCGAGAAGUAUGCGGAAUGCGUGGUGUAGCGGUGAAAUGCAUAGAUAUCACGCAGAACUCCGAUUGCGAAGGCAGCAUACCGGCGCCCGACUGACGCUGAAGCACGAAAGCGUGGGUAUCGAACAGGAUUAGAUACCCUGGUAGUCCACGCAGUAAACGAUGAAUACUAAUUGUGUGCUCCGAAUGAGGAGUGCGUGAUACAGCGAAAGCGUUAAGUAUUCCACCUGGGGAGUACGCCGGCAACGGUGAAACUCAAAGGAAUUGACGGGGGCCCGCACAAGCGGAGGAACAUGUGGUUUAAUUCGAUGAUACGCGAGGAACCUUACCCGGGCUCAAACGCAGGAGGGAUGUUUUUGAAAGGAGGCAGCUCUACGGAGUCUCCUGCGAGGUGCUGCAUGGUUGUCGUCAGCUCGUGCCGUGAGGUGUCGGCUUAAGUGCCAUAACGAGCGCAACCCCUACCGCCAGUUGCCAACGGGUAAAGCCGGGAACUCUGGCGGGACUGCCGGCGCAAGCUGUGAGGAAGGCGGGGAUGACGUCAAAUCAGCACGGCCCUUACGUACGGGGCGACACACGUGUUACAAUGGCAGGUACAGCGGGAAGCCACUUGGCGACAAGGCGCGGAACCCGAAAACCUGUCUCAGUUCGGAUUGGAGUCUGCAACCCGACUCCAUGAAGCUGGAUUCGCUAGUAAUCG